GAAUGAGCAAAAGACUAUCCAGGAUACUAAAAAUGGGGAAACUAGAAAGUUGAGAGGAAAAUAUGCUUAGCCUUUGGCAUGGAUUUUUGAGUAAUGUUUCCCAAAUAUAUAUUUGAAAUAAGAUGUUCAUUCCAAGGCCUUUAUUGAUAGUUUGGAAGAGAGGAGCAAAUAAAGACUAGAUACAAAAAUUUGGAAGUCAUUCACAUAGAAUGAUUGAGAUUUAAUGAGUAGUAAAUUCCAAAAAUAGGUGGAUGUAAUAGGUUUGAGGGCUGCUAAUAGUUUUUGAGUGAGGAAAACAAGGAACAACCAAAAGAGGUCUGGUUAGAAACAGGAAAAAAAGAAAACAGAAAAAGAUAAUAAGCACCAUAUGCCAGACAACAUAGUUUUUUAAAUCCUGAACGCUGUGGGAUAGAUACUGUUAUUAUCCUCAUUUUGCAGAUGUGAGAACUGAAGCACACACAGGUUGACUGAAGUCACACAGGUGACUCCCAAGGUCACACACCUUCUUUGACUUCUGGAUAGGACCUCCAAAAAGUGGAUUUCAUGCUCAGGAAGUAGGGAUUCCAAGGCCUACUCCAGGAUGUAUUAAAAUCCAAAGGUAAGGUCCUUCUCAGCAAUCUGGCAUUGAGUGUGGCCUAGGAAUAGUGCAGUGGAAAGAAUAUCAGGUUUGGAAUGAGGCUCUGCCAGUAACUCAUUGUAUGACCACCCUAUUCAAUUCAUUUAACCUCUCUGAGCCUCAGUUUACUCAUCUGUACAACUGAAAUACCAAGACCUUUUUCCUAUGCCCAGAUGAGCUAAACGAUAUGAAAGUAAUUGGCAAAAUAUGGUUAUGGUUAAACCAAAGUGCUGUUAUCUUCUAAACAUGCUAUGGAUCACAACCAUGCCUGUUAGAUCAAAGGCUUAUGAGAAAAACAUCUCGUCUCUAGAAAACAUGCAUCUUACUAUUUCAAAUAAUUUUUUUUUAAGGUGAGGAAGUAAUAGGAAUGUAGCUUCAGCUUACAGAACAUUUUAUAGGAAGCAAUGCUGGGAGGGAGUGAUUGUUAUGAUGGUCGAACAAUGAUAGCAGUGAUUACAGAUGUGAGUUUACCUACUUCUCUGCCGAUCUUAAUUUAAGAACACUUUGCAACCUUGUGACCCUGCUGAUGCUCUCUCCCUUCACCAAGGCAAGGUGAAGAAAUAUAUAUGGGGCUGUGGCAGGCUGCAUGUUGGUCCCUCUGAAAUGUCCACAUCCUAAUCCCUGGGACCUGCGGAUGCUACCUUCCAUAGCAAAAGGGACUUUGUAGAUGUGUACAGAUGUGCCGAGUAAGAAUCUUGAUUAAAGAUUUUGAGAUCAAGAGAUUAAUCCUGAUUAUCAGAGUUGGCCCUAAAUGUAAUCACAAGUGUCCUUAUAAGAGGGAGGCAAAGGGAGAUUUGACCACAGUAGGUGGAAUGACAGAAGCAAGAAGCCCGAGUGAUAUAAGGAAGGGCUGGGAGCCAAGAAAUGAAGUUAGAAAAGGAAAGGAAGUGGACUCCCCCCAGAAGCCUCCAGAAGGAAUGUUGCCCUGCCAAUACCUUGAUUUUAGACUUCUGAUCUCCAGAACUGUAAGAGAAUAAAUUGUGUUGUUUUAAACCACUGAGUUUGCAAUGAUUUGUUACAGCAGGAAUAGGAAACUAAUACAGGGAUUCUGACUACAGUGAGACUAGGCUACAAGCCAAGUGGCACCUGUCCCAAAUAACUCCUGAUGGCAGGAAAUGGCCCGGUGACCAAAGGAGUAGGCUGGGGCUCCAUCAACAUGGGUGACUGAGGAAUCUUCAGUCAUUGAAAGCUUCGGGAGAUGCUUCAGCAUCUGAACAUGACCUCCCAACAUUUCUAUAGGCUAUAGGUCAGCAGUUACCUGACCUCUGGGGAGGAACUGUUGUAUUUGAAAUCUGUAGCAGUUAGUUUCAAACGAGAUGUGUAAAUAGUGCUCAUAAUGAUGAGGUCCCAGUACCAAGAGGGUAAUGAUUGUGUAAUGGCCUAGGAGAGCCUUUGGAGAUGGUAAGAAUAUCUUUGGCUUCAAGAAAAGAUCAUCUUUAUUUAUCCUCAAAAUAGCCUAAUUUAGGAACCAACACCAAACAUGACAAG
ensembl:lncRNA